rnacentral:tRNA from 2 species
GCCCGGUUAGCUCAGUCGGUAGAGCAUGAGGCUCUUAACCUCAGGGUCGUGGGUUCGAGCCCCACAUUGGGCG